rnacentral:rRNA from 1 species
AUGAACGCUAGCGACAGGCCUAACACAUGCAAGUCGAGGGGCAGCACAAGGAGCAAUCUGAGGUGGCGACCGGCGCACGGGUGAGUAACACGUAUGCAACCUGCCUGUAAGCGGGGAAUAACCCGUUGAAAGACGGACUAAUACCGCAUAAUACUAAAUUACUGCAUGGUAAUUUAUUUAAACAUUUAUGGCUUACAGAUGGGCAUGCGCAUGAUUAGCUAGUUGGAGAGGUAGCGGCUCCCCAAGGCAACGAUCAUUAGGGGUUCUGAGAGGAAGGUCCCCCACACUGGUACUGAGACACGGACCAGACUCCUACGGGAGGCAGCAGUGAGGAAUAUUGGUCAAUGGACGAGAGUCUGAACCAGCCAAGUCGCGUGCAGGAAGAAUGUCCUUAAUGGAUUGUAAACUGCUUUUGCAGGGGAAUAAAGUGCAUCACGUGUGAUGUUUUGUAUGUACUCUGCGAAUAAGGAUCGGCUAACUCCGUGCCAGCAGCUGC